rnacentral:rRNA from 1 species
AGGAUAAACGCUGGCGGCGUGCCUAAAACAUGCAAGUCGAACGGCUUACACUUUCGGGUGUAGGUAGUGGCGGACGGCUGAGUAACACGUGGGUGACCUGCCCUCGAGCGGGGGAUAACUGCCCGAAAGGGUGGCUAAUACCGCAGACAUCGGUGAUUCGGUUCACCGAUUGAACCGUUUAUGGUUCGAGGAGGGGCCCGCGGCCGAUUAGCUAGCUGGUGGGUAACGGCCUACCAGGGCGUCGAUCGGUAGCUGGUCUGAGAGGAUGAUCAGCCAGACUGGGACUGCGAACGGCCCAGACCUCCGUACGGAGCAGCAGUAGUAGUUUGGGCAAGUGGGACGAAACGCUCGACCAGACAACGCCGUCGUGGGUGAGUGAACGGCCCGUCGGGUACGUAAACGUCCCUUUCCGAAGGAAGAAUAAGUGACGGUACCGGUAGGGAACUCACGCCCCGACUAACCGUACGU